rnacentral:lncRNA from 1 species
AUCCCAGGACAAUGAGCCCUUUGAUUAAGCUCAGAGAUUCUUCAUGGACAGUAGAGCUGAUGAAAGCAAGCCUCUCUCUGGAGUUGCAGGAAGAUUAUGCACCAGCCUCUAUGUGGCUUGAGUAAUUUAUUUUAAAGGUGCACCUGCUCCUGCCAGCUGUGAAACAUUUGGUAAGGUGACCUGAGGCUCAUGCCAACUGCCUGUUGUCACCUGAAAGGCACACAGGGAGGGAGGAAGUUGGAUGUACAAGGGAGACAUUCUGGAAUCUUUGAAGUGGCAGUAGUUGCUAUGGAAACCCCUCUGGAUGGUGCACUGGAAAAAGUCUAUCUCCUGAGUUCAAAGGACAAGCUUCUCUGAUAGGUGCUGGAUAGAGAGGGGCUUGACAGUGACCCCAGCCUCUUAAUGUCUGGGUGUUAUCUCUCCAUGCAGCAGAUGAAGAAACAGAGACACCCACUGGUUAAGUGACUUACCCAAGGUCAUGCAGAUAAUCAGGGCAGAGCUGAAUUUGGACCCAGGCAGCCCACAAUAAAUCUGUUGCACUUCCAACUCUGGCUGAGCAUCCGCUUCCCAGAGACUGCAAUCAGCACACCUUUGCAAAGUGGAUGGAUUUCAAUGUGAUCAACUUGCUGCAAAGUGACUGGUUGUUAUCCUCAAGACACAGUACCCUGCUGGGAGCUCAAUGGAUCUCUACAGUCUGUCACAGCUUUGGCAUCUCUUCAUACUCUCUGCUGGGUUCCUUGCAUUCACUAUGGAUGGAAGCUGUAACAAAUGCACCAAAUCCCUUGGGCUAUCCUUACUCCACCUACACCAGUGACAGAAUCUGCAUUACCAGCCACAGAAGGGGAUCAACUCUAAAAUCCCGUUUUCCAGUCUGCUUUCUUGGACUGCUCCUGUAUCCUGAAAGAGCCUCUAAGAGCAUGCUAUCCGAAAACCUCAUGAAGGAGCAUCUCACAGGCGAUGGUGAUCCCACAGGCGAGUCACAGAAUCAUGUGACAUUACACGAUGAAGUUUCAUGAGUUGACUGGGACCAGCUUCUCACUUGGACUCUGUCAUGUGGUUGCAGCUAGAUAGGAGCUGCAGAAAGAGCUAAGGCUUAACUUGUCAAGCCUUAACAAUUCAAGGGUUAAACUCUGUUGAUGUCCAAGAAGGCUCAUUCACAUGAGUGGUGAUUGAUGUUGGUUAUUGUGGAGCCCAGAUGGAGCCAUCAGAUCGCCUUUGCAUGGACUCUGAGUGGCUUGGACUACUUACAGCAUGAUGUCUGGGUCUGGAGAAACUACAUCCCAAAAGUGAAUAUUCUAUAUGGAAGAAAGUAGAAGCUCCUGGGCCAAUUAAAGGCGGUAACUAAAACAAGCAAAGUGUCAUUUCCACAGAAUUCUAUUAGCCAAAGCACUCAUAGGGCAGAUUCAACAGAGUGGAAACUUGCAGGGGGCUGGCAAAGCCAUGUAGUAGAGAAGUAUGCGGCAUGGGUCAUAUUACUGGGGACAUAGUUAGAAAAUACGAUCUUCUACAACAAUUCAUGCAUCUCCCACAUAUAAAUUGUGAUUACCAGUCCCCGAAGGAAUCCAG